rnacentral:rRNA from 1 species
UACAGAGGUCUCAAGCGUUGUUCGGAUUCAUUGGGCGUAAAGGGUGCGUAGGCGGCGCGGUAAGUCGGGUGUGAAAUCUCGGAGCUUAACUCCGAAACUGCAUUCGAUACUGCCGUGCUUGAGGACUGGAGAGGAGACUGGAAUUUACGGUGUAGCGGUGAAAUGCGUAGAUAUCUGGAGGAACACCGGUGGCGAAGGCGGCAUCCUGGACCAAUUCUGACGCUGAGGAGCGAAAGCCAGGGGAGCAAACGGG